UUUUUUUGAGAAUUUGAUCCUGGUUCAGGAUGAACGCUGGCGGUGUGCCUUAAGCAUGCAAGUCGAACGGUAUAUUGUUGGACUUUGGAUGACUCAACGGCACGAUCGCUCUUUUAUAGAGUAAUUUGUGUUGUUGAUUCCAAAGUCNNNNNNNNNNNAUGUGAUCGCAAGAUCAAAGCCGUAAGGCGCGAAGAGAGGGGCCUGCGUCCCAUCAGCUAGUUGGCGGGGUAAACGCCCACCAAGGCAACGACGGGUAGCCGGUGUGAGAGCAUGGCCGGCCACAAGGUCACUGAGACACGGGACCUACACCUACGGGUGGCAGCAACUGGGAAUCUUGCGCAAUGGACGAAAGUCUGACGCAGCGACACCGCGUGUGGGAAGAAGGCCUUCGGGUUGUAAACCACUGUGGCGAGGGAACAAAAAAAUGAGGGUACCUCGCUAGAAAGCACCUGCUAACUACGUGCCAGAAGCCUCGGUAAUACGUAGGGUGCAAGCGUUAUCCGGAUUUACUGGGCGUAAAGCGUCUCGAAGGUGGACGCGCGCGUGGCGGGUUUAAGCCCGGAGCUCAACUCCGGACCAGCUCGUCAUACGGCGUGUCUCGAGUCUGUUAGGGGGAAUCAGAAUUCUCGGUGUAGGGGUGAAAUCCGNNNNNNNNNNGAGGAAUGCCAAAAGCGAAGGCAGGUUCCUGGGACAGUACUGACACUCUAGGACGAAAGCCAGGGUAGCAAAAGGGAUUAGAGACCCCUGUAGUCCUGGCCCUAAACGAUGCUCGCUAGAUGGUUCACUUCGGUGGGCUGUCGUAAGCUAACGCGUUAAGCGAGCCGCCUGGGGAGUACGGCCGCAAGGCUAAAACUCAAAGGAAUU
rnacentral:rRNA from 1 species